rnacentral:rRNA from 1 species
UACGAAGGGGGCUAGCGUUGCUCGGAAUCACUGGGCGUAAAGGGUGCGUAGGCGGGUCUUUAAGUCAGGGGUGAAAUCCUGGAGCUCAACUCCAGAACUGCCUUUGAUACUGAAGAUCUUGAGUUCGGGAGAGGUGAGUGGAACUGCGAGUGUAGAGGUGAAAUUCGUAGAUAUUCGCAAGAACACCAGUGGCGAAGGCGGCUCACUGGCCCGAUACUGAGGCUGAGGCACGAAAGCGUGGGGAGCAAACAGG